rnacentral:rRNA from 1 species
CACGUAGUUAGCCGGUGCUUAUUCUUCAGGUACCGUCAUUAGCGAAGGAUAUUAGCCCUCACCGUUUCUUCCCUGACAAAAGAGCUUUACAACCCGAAGGCCUUCUUCACUCACGCGGCAUUGCUGGAUCAGGCUUUCGCCCAUUGUCCAAAAUUCCCCACUGCUGCCUCCCGUAGGAGUCUGGACCGUGUCUCAGUUCCAGUGUGGCUGGUCGUCCUCUCAGACCAGCUACUGAUCGUGGCCUUGGUGAGCCUUUACCUCACCAACUAGCUAAUCAGAUAUCGGCCGCUCCAGGAGCACAAGGUCCGAAGAUCCCCUGCUUUCAUCCUUAGAUCGUAUGCGGUAUUAGCGUAACUUUCGCUACGUUAUCCCCCACUCUUGGGUACGUUCCGAUAUAUUACUCACCCGUUCGCCACUCGCCGCCAGGUUGCCCCGCGCUGCCGUUCGACUUGCAUGUGUAAAGCAUGCCGCCAGCGUUCAAUCUGAGCCAGGAUCAAA